GCCGGCGUAGCUCAGUUGGUAGAGCAGCGCACUUGUAAUGCGCAGGUCGUAGGUUCGACUCCUAUCGCCGGCUCCA
rnacentral:tRNA from 1 species